rnacentral:lncRNA from 1 species
AAGCGUCCGUCCCCGCAACAGAUUGGCGCUAGAGGAAGGGCCGCGCCCCUUGCCGCAGACUACCCCCUAGGACUGGGAGGCGCCACAGGAACCUUCCCGCUAGGGGGGCUAUGUUGUGGGGGGGUGCACCCGAAUUUAGUCCCACAUCGGCUAGUAGCGGAAAGGUUCUGUGCCUUAAAUGGGAAGUGGAAAUCCUUUCCUCUCGAGGGCCCUUUUGUGGGACAAAACCGUGAGGGCACCAGUCUCCCCCCGUCUGCGCUGGACGCGCGGGCCGGAGCGCCCAAAGCGGACAAUACCUCGGGAGGAACGCAGUCCUCUUUCUCUGCUAGCUUAAUGUGGGCUAACUGUUGCGUGAGGCUCCGGCCAAAGCGUCCGUCCCCGCAACA